UACGGAGGGGGCUAGCGUUGUUCGGAAUUACUGGGCGUAAAGCGAGUGUAGGCGGUCUGUAAAGUCGGGUGUGAAAGCCCCGGGCUCAACCCGGGGAAGUGCACUCGAUACUCACAGGCUAGAGUAUCGGAGAGGUUGGUGGAAUUCUCGGUGUAGAGGUGAAAUUCGUAGAUAUCGAGAGGAACACCGGUGGCGAAGGCGGCCAACUGGACGAAUACUGACGCUGAGACUCGAAAGCGUGGGGAGCAAACAGG
rnacentral:rRNA from 1 species